rnacentral:rRNA from 1 species
AGUGAACGCUGGCGGCAGGCCUAACACAUGCAAGUCGAGCGGCAGCGGGUCCUUCGGGAUGCCGGCGAGCGGCGGACGGGUGAGGAAUGCAUCGGAAUCUGCCUCUAUGUGGGGGAUAACGUAGGGAAACUUACGCUAAUACCGCAUACGACCUACGGGUGAAAGCCGGGGACCUUCGGGCCUGGCGCAGAGAGAUGAGCCGAUGCCGGAUUAGCUAGUUGGCGGGGUAAAGGCCCACCAAGGCGACGAUCCGUAGCUGGUCUGAGAGGAUGAUCAGCCACACUGGAACUGAGACACGGUCCAGACUCCUACGGGAGGCAGCAGUGGGGAAUAUUGGACAAUGGGCGCAAGCCUGAUCCAGCCAUGCCGCGUGAGUGAAGAAGGCCUUCGGGUUGUAAAGCUCUUUUGUUGGGGAAGAAAAGCUUCCGGUUAAUACCCGGGAGUCCUGACGGUACCCAAAGAAUAAGCACCGGCUAACUUCGUGCCAGCCGCCGCGGUAAAAC